rnacentral:misc_RNA from 1 species
UCUCCGUAGGUGAACCUGCGGAGGGAUCAUUACUGAGUGAGGGCUUAGGUCUGACCUCCAACCCUUUGUGAACCAAACUUGUUGCUUCGGUGGCGACCCUGCCGCUUCGGCGGUGCGGCGCCCCCGAAGGCCAUUAAACACUGCAUCAUUGCGUCGGAGUUAAAGUAAAUUAAACAAAACUUUCAACAACGGAUCUCUUGGUUCUGGCAUCGAUGAAGAACGCAGC